CUUCUUAUCUCUUUGUUUCCCUUUUUUUUCCUUCAUUUUAGCCGAACCCUUAGUUUUGAAAAAAAAUUCAUCGGCGAGCUUCUUCGGCGAAUCAAUGCUUCUAUCCUCUUCCUCUCAUUCUCCUGAGCUUGGUGGUGAAGCUUCCUCGCAGGGGAAGGAAAUUGCCGACCUGUGAGCGUGUUUGAAGGCGAGACGACGGGUUCAGCUGAGACGUUGGACUGGGUUGUGCUGGGCAGGCAGUAGGUUAACCGAUCCUUUUCUUCGUGUCUAGGUUAGUUUGCAGUGCAUGUAAACUUUAUGGAUCCAUUAGACUUGACUUUUGUGUAUUAUUCCUAUAUUUUUACUUUUCGGUUGUAUUUGGAACUCUGGCUGGUUCUAUAGUGGAGGUUGUCUCCCUCUUCAGUUCGUUGUGGUAGCGGGCUUGUUUUGAGCCUUACGAUGACUAGGAGGUAGGAUGUUGUAGGGUCCACACCUUAUUGUCGUGGCGGUUACCACGUGCCCGGCUAGGGUCGGGGCGUGACAGCUACACUGUAGCAAGAAUUAGGAGACAAUAAAAGCUCAAGAAAAAGAAGAAGAAGAGAAGAUGUUAGGGUUUGAGAUUUGCAAGAGAAUCGGAGAGCAUUUGGUGCCGGAUUCGGGUUGCUAAUCCUUGAGAGGAGAUCUCUAAAUCUACCGGUUUGAUCUCUCUUUUAUCACUUCUUGAAGUAUUGCAUGGUAUCCAUCUUUAUGUCAAAGAUGAUGAUGUAUGUGUAUGUUGAUAGUAUCUCACAUUGAUUAUCCAUGUCAAUUCUCUUGUAAACCUCUAGUUAGCUAGAGAGAACCCCUUGUAUCUCCACUAAUUGACAUACUCGAAGCUUUGUAAGAGACUCUAAUGAGUCUCAUGGUUUUUCCCUCGAUUC